rnacentral:misc_RNA from 1 species
GUAGGAGUGAGCCUGCUCGCGAUAGCGGAGUGUCAGUCAGCAAUUCUGGUCACUGACAGACCGCUAUCGCGAGCAGGCUCACUCCUAC